rnacentral:lncRNA from 10 species
CCCGAGUAGCUGGGAUUACAGGCGACUGCCGCCACCACGCCCGGCUAAUUUUUUAAGUAUUUUUAGUAGAGACGGGUUUCACCGCGUUAGCCAGCAUGGUCUUGAUCUCCUGACCUCGUGAUCUGCCCUCCUCGGCCUCCCAAAGUGCUGGGAUUACAGGCGUGAGCCACCGCGCCCGGCCGACCCCUGUAGGGUUUUAAAGGAGAGAGGCAGCAUCCCAGAGGGCAAAAAGGGCUUCAUUCAUGGAGAAAGCAACUGAGCUGGGCAGAGCACAGACGGAAUUUGAAUUGGAGGCCAGAGGCAAAGGGAACUCCAAGUGGAAGAAGAAACGGCAUGAAAAAAGGGAUUGAGAAGGAAAAGGACAAGAUGGUUUGGAGAGAGAGCAACUUCAGCCUGGAAAAGCAGAAAUGAGAUGCGGCCAAGAAAAAGACUCCAGCCCAGCCUGCCUUGGUUCUAACCCUGACUGUUACUUAACCUCUUUCUGGCUCAGUCAAGAAACUUGAGCACUGCAAGAUGAUCAUGUGGAAUACCUACUUCAAACGGAUGUUAAGAGGAAAGAUUCAGGCUUUAGCGAUGACUGGAGGGUCAUUCGCUGGAAAGAAUUUCAUCAGUUGGAACUAAAUCAUGAUGAAUGAAAUACAAGUACAACAAGAAAAAGUUUCUGUAAAAACUAAGUAGUGCCUCACUUUGGAGUCGGCUGAGAAGAUCAUUCCAGACGGGAGUUUUGACACUGUACAAAUGCACUGUCUUCACAUCUACGCUGACACCCCUGCCUUUCUACCUGCAGGUGUCUGUGGCUUACAAGCUGGUGCCUCCCACAGACCCUGUAGUUUGGAGCUAAUGAAGAGCUGAGAAGCUACCAGGAUCUGCAACUUUUUGCCUGAGGGUUUUCUCAGAAGACACAGAAACUGUUCUGCCUAUAAGCCUUGAAGUGCCAGGGAAUUAACACCUACCUUCCCACAGCCCUCCCCACAGUGACUGAUAGCAUUGAUAACGAUACCCAAGCUUCACCCCUCAGGUGGGAUAACUGAGCUGCUUGUUCUAUACCAUGUUCUAGAGUUUCUCCCAUGAGUUUAGGUUCUAAUCAUCCACAUGUAAAUUGCUUGAUAAGAAACCUUCAUUGACUCCUUGUCUCACUUCCCCUCCCCUUAUUUGUUUUGUUUGCACCUUUCAAAUAAACUAUUUUCAUUCAAAUC